GACGAACGCUGGCGGCGUGCUUAACACAUGCAAGUCGAACGGAAAGGCCCUGCUUUUGUGGGGUGCUCGAGUGGCGAACGGGUGAGUAACACGUGAGUAACCUGCCCUUGACUUUGGGAUAACUUCAGGAAACUGGGGCUAAUACCGGAUAGGAGCUCCUGCUGCAUGGGGGGGGUUGGAAAGUUUCGGCGGUUGGGGAUGGACUCGCGGCUUAUCAGCUUGUUGGUGGGGUAGUGGCUUACCAAGGCUUUGACGGGUAGCCGGCCUGAGAGGGUGACCGGCCACAUUGGGACUGAGAUACGGCCCAGACUCCUACGGGAGGCAGCAGUGGGGAAUAUUGCACAAUGGGCGGAAGCCUGAUGCAGCAGCGCCGCGUGCGGGAUGACGGCCUUCGGGUUGUAAACCGCUUUCGCCUGUGACGAAGCGUGAGUGACGGUAAUGGGUAAAGAAGCACCGGCUAACUACGUG
rnacentral:rRNA from 1 species